CCCUAGCCCUGAUAGAAGUGGAAAUCCUUAUGAGGCUCUUUUUUUUUAACGAGACUCAUAAGAUUGUAACGGAUAGCAGGAAAUAGC
rnacentral:sRNA from 1 species